AGCGUACACGGUGGAUGCCCUGGCAGUCAGAGGCGAUGAAGGACGUGCUAAUCUGCGAUAAGCGUCGGUAAGGUGAUAUGAACCGUUAUAACCGGCGAUUUCCGAAUGGGGAAACCCAGUGUGAUUCGUCACACUAUCAUUAACUGAAUCCAUAGGUUAAUGAGGCGAACCGGGGGAACUGAAACAUCUAAGUACCCCGAGGAAAAGAAAUCAACCGAGAUUCCCCCAGUAGCGGCGAGCGAACGGGGAGCAGCCCAGAGCCUGAAUCAGUGUGUGUGUUAGUGGAAGCGUCUGGAAAGGCGCGCGAUACAGGGUGACAGCCCCGUACACAAAAAUGCACAUGCUGUGAGCUCGAUGAGUAGGGCGGGACACGUGGUAUCCUGUCUGAAUAUGGGGGGACCAUCCUCCAAGGCUAAAUACUCCUGACUGACCGAUAGUGAACCAGUACCGUGAGGGAAAGGCGAAAAGAACCCCGGCGAGGGGAGUGAAAAAGAACCUGAAACCGUGUACGUACAAGCAGUGGGAGCACAGAGCAAUCUGUGUGACUGCGUACCUUUUGUAUAAUGGGUCAGCGACUUAUAUUCUGUAGCAAGGUUAACCGAAUAGGGGAGCCGAAGGGAAACCGAGUCUUAACUGGGCGUUAAGUUGCAGGGUAUAGACCCGAAACCCGGUGAUCUAGCCAUGGGCAGGUUGAAGGUUGGGUAACACUAACUGGAGGACCGAACCGACUAAUGUUGAAAAAUUAGCGGAUGACUUGUGGCUGGGGGUGAAAGGCCAAUCAAACCGGGAGAUAGCUGGUUCUCCCCGAAAGCUAUUUAGGUAGCGCCUCGUGAAUUCAUCUCCGGGGGUAGAGCACUGUUUCGGCAAGGGGGUCAUCCCGACUUACCAACCCGAUGCAAACUGCGAAUACCGGAGAAUGUUAUCACGGGAGACACACGGCGGGUGCUAACGUCCGUCGUGAAGAGGGAAACAACCCAGACCGCCAGCUAAGGUCCCAAAGUCAUGGUUAAGUGGGAAACGAUGUGGGAAGGCCCAGACAGCCAGGAUGUUGGCUUAGAAGCAGCCAUCAUUUAAAGAAAGCGUAAUAGCUCACUGGUCGAGUCGGCCUGCGCGGAAGAUGUAACGGGGCUAAACCAUGCACCGAAGCUGCGGCAGCGACGCUNNNNNNNNNNNNNNNNNNNNNNNNNNNNNNNNNNNNNNNNNNNNNNNNNNNNNNNCAUGCUGGAGGUAUCAGAAGUGCGAAUGCUGACAUAAGUAACGAUAAAGCGGGUGAAAAGCCCGCUCGCCGGAAGACCAAGGGUUCCUGUCCAACGUUAAUCGGGGCAGGGUGAGUCGACCCCUAAGGCGAGGCCGAAAGGCGUAGUCGAUGGGAAACAGGUUAAUAUUCCUGUACUUGGUGUUACUGCGAAGGGGGGACGGAGAAGGCUAUGUUGGCCGGGCGACGGUUGUCCCGGUUUAAGCGUGUAGGCUGGUUUUCCAGGCAAAUCCGGAAAAUCAAGGCUGAGGCGUGAUGACGAGGCACUACGGUGCUGAAGCAACAAAUGCCCUGCUUCCAGGAAAAGCCUCUAAGCAUCAGGUAACAUCAAAUCGUACCCCAAACCGACACAGGUGGUCAGGUAGAGAAUACCAAGGCGCUUGAGAGAACUCGGGUGAAGGAACUAGGCAAAAUGGUGCCGUAACUUCGGGAGAAGGCACGCUGAUAUGUAGGUGAAGUCCCUCGCGGAUGGAGCUGAAAUCAGUCGAAGAUACCAGCUGGCUGCAACUGUUUAUUAAAAACACAGCACUGUGCAAACACGAAAGUGGACGUAUACGGUGUGACGCCUGCCCGGUGCCGGAAGGUUAAUUGAUGGGGUUAGCGCAAGCGAAGCUCUUGAUCGAAGCCCCGGUAAACGGCGGCCGUAACUAUAACGGUCCUAAGGUAGCGAAAUUCCUUGUCGGGUAAGUUCCGACCUGCACGAAUGGCGUAAUGAUGGCCAGGCUGUCUCCACCCGAGACUCAGUGAAAUUGAACUCGCUGUGAAGAUGCAGUGUACCCGCGGCAAGACGGAAAGACCCCGUGAACCUUUACUAUAGCUUGACACUGAACAUUGAGCCUUGAUGUGUAGGAUAGGUGGGAGGCUUUGAAGUGUGGACGCCAGUCUGCAUGGAGCCGACCUUGAAAUACCACCCUUUAAUGUUUGAUGUUCUAACGUUGACCCGUGAUCCGGGUUGCGGACAGUGUCUGGUGGGUAGUUUGACUGGGGCGGUCUCCUCCUAAAGAGUAACGGAGGAGCACGAAGGUUGGCUAAUCCUGGUCGGACAUCAGGAGGUUAGUGCAAUGGCAUAAGCCAGCUUGACUGCGAGCGUGACGGCGCGAGCAGGUGCGAAAGCAGGUCAUAGUGAUCCGGUGGUUCUGAAUGGAAGGGCCAUCGCUCAACGGAUAAAAGGUACUCCGGGGAUAACAGGCUGAUACCGCCCAAGAGUUCAUAUCGACGGCGGUGUUUGGCACCUCGAUGUCGGCUCAUCACAUCCUGGGGCUGAAGUAGGUCCCAAGGGUAUGGCUGUUCGCCAUUUAAAGUGGUACGCGAGCUGGGUUUAGAACGUCGUGAGACAGUUCGGUCCCUAUCUGCCGUGGGCGCUGGAGAACUGAGGGGGGCUGCUCCUAGUACGAGAGGACCGGAGUGGACGCAUCACUGGUGUUCGGGUUGUCAUGCCAAUGGCACUGCCCGGUAGCUAAAUGCGGAAGAGAUAAGUGCUGAAAGCAUCUAAGCACGAAACUUGCCCCGAGAUGAGUUCUCCCUGACUCCUUGA
rnacentral:rRNA from 1 species